rnacentral:lncRNA from 1 species
CGAACAAGCUCCGCCUACUGAUCAAGGACUACCCCUUCGCCGUCGACGGCCUGGCAAUCUGGUCUGCGAUCGAGACUUGGGUCACCGAGUACUGCUCCAUCUACUACAGCAACGACGCGGCGAUCCGGGCCGAUGUCGAGCUGCAGGCCUGGUGGAAGGAGGUCCGCGAGGUCGGCCACGGCGACAAGAAGGACGAGGAUUGGUGGCCCAAGAUGCAGACCCUGGCGGAGCUGGCCAAGACCUGUACCACCAUCAUCUGGGUGGCCUCCGCCCUGCACGCGGCGGUCAACUUCGGGCAGUACCCCUACGCUGGCUACCUCCCCAACCGGCCCACCAUCAGUCGGCGGUUCAUGCCCGAGCCGGGCACGCCGGAGUACCACGAGCUGGAGAAGAACCCGGAC